rnacentral:rRNA from 1 species
UACGUAGGGUGCAAGCGUUAAUCGGAAUUACUGGGCGUAAAGCGUGCGCAGGCGGUUCGUUGUGUCGGUGGUGAAAGCCCCGGGCUUAACCUGGGAAUGGCCAUGGAAACUGGCGAACUGGAGUGUGGCAGAGGGGGGUGGAAUUCCGCGUGUAGCAGUGAAAUGCGUAGAGAUGCGGAGGAACACCGAUGGCGAAGGCAGCCCCCUGGGCUGACACUGACGCUCAGGCACGAAAGCGUGGGGAGCAAACAGG